rnacentral:rRNA from 1 species
CGGCAGGAAGGACCCGCUCGCUAGCUGUGGGGCUUCGUCAACCUUGGUGUAGAUGAUGUCCGGUUGCGCCGUGGAAGCCCACCUCAAGAUGAGUUUUCCCCAUGAGACCCGUGGAAGACCACCACGUUGAUAGGCUGGGUGUGGAAGUGCGGUAACGCACGGAGCUGACCAGUACUAAUCGGUCCAUUGGCUUUGUAAC